GGGUUGUGAGGUUAAGCGACUAAGCGUACACGGUGGAUGCCCUGGCAGUCAGAGGCGAUGAAGGACGUGCUAAUCUGCGAUAAGCGCCGGUAAGGUGAUAUGAACCGUUAUAACCGGCGAUUUCCGAAUGGGGAAACCCAGUGUGACUCGUCACACUAUCAUUAACUGAAUCCAUAGGUUAAUGAGGCGAACCGGGGGAACUGAAACAUCUAAGUACCCCGAGGAAAAGAAAUCAACCGAGAUUCCCCCAGUAGCGGCGAGCGAACGGGGAGGAGCCCAGAGCCUGAAUCAGCAUGUGUGUUAGUGGAAGCGUCUGGAAAGGCGCGCGAUACAGGGUGACAGCCCCGUACACAAAAGCGCAUGUGCUGUGAGCUCGAUGAGUAGGGCGGGACACGUGGUAUCCUGUCUGAAUAUGGGGGGACCAUCCUCCAAGGCUAAAUACUCCUGACUGACCGAUAGUGAACCAGUACCGUGAGGGAAAGGCGAAAAGAACCCCGGCGAGGGGAGUGAAAAAGAACCUGAAACCGUGUACGUACAAGCAGUGGGAGCCCCACCACUAAGCCAGUGGUGAACUCCACAUACGCAUCCUUUGCUGAUGGCAAUGGUUAACGGAGCGAAAGCGACGUUCAACCGCAAAACAAGCAGAGGGGGCUUAGUGGUGGGGUGACUGCGUACCUUUUGUAUAAUGGGUCAGCGACUUAUAUUCUGUAGCAAGGUUAACCGUAUAGGGGAGCCGCAGGGAAACCGAGUCUUAACCGGGCGUUAAGUUGCAGGGUAUAGACCCGAAACCCGGUGAUCUAGCCAUGGGCAGGUUGAAGGUUGGGUAACACUAACUGGAGGACCGAACCGACUAAUGUUGAAAAAUUAGCGGAUGACCUGUGGCUGGGGGUGAAAGGCCAAUCAAACCGGGAGAUAGCUGGUUCUCCCCGAAAGCUAUUUAGGUAGCGCCUCGUGAAUUCAUCUCCGGGGGUAGAGCACUGUUUCGGCUAGGGGGCCAUCCCGGCUUACCAACCCGAUGCAAACUGCGAAUACCGGAGAAUGUUAUCACGGGAGACACACGGCGGGUGCUAACGUCCGUCGUGAAGAGGGAAACAACCCAGACCGCCAGCUAAGGUCCCAAAGUCAUGGUUAAGUGGGAAACGAUGUGGGAAGGCCCAGACAGCCAGGAUGUUGGCUUAGAAGCAGCCAUCAUUUAAAGAAAGCGUAAUAGCUCACUGGUCGAGUCGGCCUGCGCGGAAGAUGUAACGGGGCUAAACCAUGCACCGAAGCUGCGGCAGCGACACUCAGGUGUUGUUGGGUAGGGGAGCGUUCUGUAAGCCUGCGAAGGUGGCCUGUGAGGGUUGCUGGAGGUAUCAGAAGUGCGAAUGCUGACAUAAGUAACGAUAAAGCGGGUGAAAAGCCCGCUCGCCGGAAGACCAAGGGUUCCUGUCCAACGUUAAUCGGGGCAGGGUGAGUCGACCCCUAAGGCGAGGCCGAAAGGCGUAGUCGAUGGGAAACGGGUUAAUAUUCCCGUACUUGGUGUUACUGCGAAGGGGGGACGGAGAAGGCUAUGUUGGCCGGGCGACGGUUGUCCCGGUUUAAGCGUGUAGGCUGGUUUUCCAGGCAAAUCCGGAAAAUCAAGGCUGAGGCGUGACGACGAGGCACUACGGUGCUGAAGCAACAAAUGCCCUGCUUCCAGGAAAAGCCUCUAAGCAUCAGGUAACAUCAAAUCGUACCCCAAACCGACACAGGUGGUCAGGUAGAGAAUACCAAGGCGCUUGAGAGAACUCGGGUGAAGGAACUAGGCAAAAUGGUGCCGUAACUUCGGGAGAAGGCACGCUGACACGUAGGUGAAGUGAUUUACUCAUGGAGCUGAAGUCAGUCGAAGAUACCAGCUGGCUGCAACUGUUUAUUAAAAACACAGCACUGUGCAAACACGAAAGUGGACGUAUACGGUGUGACGCCUGCCCGGUGCCGGAAGGUUAAUUGAUGGGGUCAGCGCAAGCGAAGCUCCUGAUCGAAGCCCCGGUAAACGGCGGCCGUAACUAUAACGGUCCUAAGGUAGCGAAAUUCCUUGUCGGGUAAGUUCCGACCUGCACGAAUGGCGUAAUGAUGGCCAGGCUGUCUCCACCCGAGACUCAGUGAAAUUGAACUCGCUGUGAAGAUGCAGUGUACCCGCGGCAAGACGGAAAGACCCCGUGAACCUUUACUAUAGCUUGACACUGAACAUUGAGCCUUGAUGUGUAGGAUAGGUGGGAGGCUUUGAAGUGUGGACGCCAGUCUGCAUGGAGCCGACCUUGAAAUACCACCCUUUAAUGUUUGAUGUUCUAACGUGGACCCGUAAUCCGGGUUGCGGACAGUGUCUGGUGGGUAGUUUGACUGGGGCGGUCUCCUCCUAAAGAGUAACGGAGGAGCACGAAGGUUGGCUAAUCCUGGUCGGACAUCAGGAGGUUAGUGCAAUGGCAUAAGCCAGCUUGACUGCGAGCGUGACGGCGCGAGCAGGUGCGAAAGCAGGUCAUAGUGAUCCGGUGGUUCUGAAUGGAAGGGCCAUCGCUCAACGGAUAAAAGGUACUCCGGGGAUAACAGGCUGAUACCGCCCAAGAGUUCAUAUCGACGGCGGUGUUUGGCACCUCGAUGUCGGCUCAUCACAUCCUGGGGCUGAAGUAGGUCCCAAGGGUAUGGCUGUUCGCCAUUUAAAGUGGUACGCGAGCUGGGUUUAGAACGUCGUGAGACAGUUCGGUCCCUAUCUGCCGUGGGCGCUGGAGAACUGAGGGGGGCUGCUCCUAGUACGAGAGGACCGGAGUGGACGCAUCACUGGUGUUCGGGUUGUCAUGCCAAUGGCACUGCCCGGUAGCUAAAUGCGGAAGAGAUAAGUGCUGAAAGCAUCUAAGCACGAAACUUGCCCCGAGAUGAGUUCUCCCUGAGACUUAAAGUCUCCUGAAGGAACGUUGAAGACGACGACGUUGAUAGGCCGGGUGUGUAAGCGCAGCGAUGCGUUGAGCUAACCGGUACUAAUGAACCGUGAGGCUUAACCUUACAACGCCGAAG
rnacentral:rRNA from 1 species